rnacentral:other from 1 species
AGUGCAAUGGCUGAACCAAAAGGACAGUAGUGGAAGGCUAUUUAACAAGAGGACUUUCUUCUUAGAAAACCACUUUUGUAUAAAGUUAGAAUUUCUUGUCUUUAAAUUCCAUCCUUUAGUUUUCCGUUGUGUUGCACUUUAAAGAAAUACCAAGAAACC